AAAACUACCCCCAGGGUGAGUCCCCCUUGUUCUCCUCAGAUAUCCCUAGGUGAAUUCCCUUUUUUUUUUUUUACAACAUUUAGUGUCCCGAAUUUCCGGGCACGACACCAGCAGUAGACAAGAGAUAUGGAGGGAAGAGAGAGAAAAUAACAAGAGAACGGCGAGGGAAGUGGCUGGCAAGUCUGGCAAGAGCUGACUUAUCCGAGGCUGGAAAAAGGCAUCUCCUCGUGUGCAGUGAUCAUUUUUUGAGUGGACGGCCAGCAGUCCUUGAAGAUACUAGUAAUCCAGACUGGGCCCCAACACAGAACCUUGGUCAUCGUAAAGUGUCCCAGGAAUUGGUCGCCAUCAGUUGUGCUCGGCAUCAAAGGAUCCAGGAGAGAAAGUUGAAGAAGGAUAAGGAGAUGUUUAUGGCAGCGCAGACACUCAUGGACAUACAGGAAUACACUCAACCUUGCCAUGACGAAGUUCAUGUUGAACAACAGGAACAGUUGUCCCUACUAGCCAUCGGCCAGACAUUUCAGACAGAGAAGCAAACCAUUGUGUCUAGACCAGCUGCCUGCCAGACAGAAACAGUAACAGUUGCAACUGUCGGCUGCCAAAGAGACCUCACCCUAAUGGAGACGACCAUGUUUGAUCAGCAGG